AAGAGUUGGUGAUAGAGACAGAGAGGGCAAGGAAGAAAAGGCAGAGAGAGGGAGAGACAGAGAGGGAAAGAGACAGACUGUGUGUGAGAGUAUGUGUUUGUGUGUGUGUGUGUUUGUGUGUGUUCAUUCCACAACCUGGUAUUUCAUCAGAUAAGGGGUUGCCUUGUUUUCUCGUCUUCCAGAAUCUCUUACAGGAAAUACUUGGACGAUACCAUGGGGAAAAGAAAUCGGGAAUCUACCCACGACUCGGUCCAGGAGCAGUGGAAGAGCCUCUUCCAGAAGGCAAAAGCACUGCUAUUUCGAGAUUCCCCUCAAUGUACUGCACCCUUAUCAGAGAGGAAAAAUGUGUAGGUGUGGGACCUCGAGGUCCAGGAAGAGAGCAUUCCUGCAAGGCCAAAAUCGGAAGGAAAAACCAUUGUGGCCCCAUCCUCAGUGAGGAGUUUGGCUUCUGAGGCUCCUAUGCUAAUAGUCAUAGUCUCAUUUUGAAUUAUUACCCUUUACUGCUUGGUUGCCUCAUUCAAGUACAAUUUUUUCAGAGUUUCAGCCCUUUACAGCUUCCCAUUGCCACUCUUCAUUUUUCAAAGAAUUAUUUUCAUCUUGAGACUCCUUUCCUCCUUUGCAAGUUGGUUUACUUUUUUUUCUUUUGAUUUUCAUUUUUCUUGGAAGCAUUUUUUUUUGGUUACAUUUUUCUCAAUUUCUUUUGAUUUUAAAUUCUUCUUUGAGUUCUACACAUUUCCUUUGCUUUUGCAGCCACUGCACAUGACUCUUUAAGGUAAAAGCUUUUUUUCCAUAAGUGUCUGAAGAUGAACUCUUGUGUUCCCUAUUCUGAUAAUCUAUUUCAAUGGUGGGGUUCUUCCUUGCAGGUGUGUUUUUUAAAACGAGGAAUGAUUAUUGAGCUCUUUUAAGUGAUGUGUGGGGGAGUUCCUCAAGCUUCCAUUCAGAGUUGCCCUCUGACCAGGAAACCCAAAGACUCUGACCAAGAACCCCAAGGCAAGAACUGCCCUUGCUUGCAAGUAUCAGCAGGCAGCAGGGUCCCGGGUCUACUGCCUCUGAACCCACCCAGGGUUGGAUCCUGGCCAGGGCCAAUCCUCAGUGCUAUGUCCAAGUGACACAGCUGGACCUGGCUGCCAUCCUAGUCAGCCCAGCUUCACUCAGGCCUCCAGGACUCAGACCUCAACUUGACAAGAGAGUCUGGGAGAUAGAUGAAAAUCCCUGUGGUUCCUGUGAGGCUCCGGCCACUCCCAGCUUAGCCAAGGGGCCCCACUUGUUUCUGUGGAUUUAGCCUGGAGGUGUUGCCAUUUUAGAGAGAUUCAUCUCCAGUCCAAUGGCUUUUUUCACAACCCUUUGGGUUGUGUGUGAAGGACCCCCUGUGAUACCCCGAGUCUGAUUUGUAUGUCUAAAUUCUAAGUUACAAAUUUGUUCCAUUUGUGGGGGAAAUUGGGAGAACUCGAACACUUUCCUAGACCCCUCCAGAGCGGAAAUUUUUAAAAAUGGAUCAAAAUGAACCCUGUUGUCCCCAACCUUUUUCCUUAGGCUUUUGGGAGGAGUGCUUGUGGACUGUUGUAGGAGAAGGUUUUGACUGGGGAGCCAAGGCUAGCUGGAAUUUUCUGGUCUUCUUCCAGGGACUACUGGCUUUGGCAGUACAGCAUGGGGCUUCUUGAGCUGGAGGACUUUCUACCUGAGGCCAAUUAGUGUGUUGGGAAACAACUUUCGGGGAUGUCUUGGACUCACUUGUCAGGACUGGGGAUAUUUUUGUGUUGUUGUUCUGAGGAGCACUGAGUACUUUGAUGGCCCUAACUUGCAUGCCUUCUUGGGGUGGAGGAUGUUCUCCCUGAUCCCAGUUAAAAGAAGGUUUAGAGAGAGCUCUCGAGGAUGUCUUGGAGUCAGUGGGGAGGGCUGGGGGUACUUUGGUGGCCCUCCUCUUCCAAGGAACUCUUGAGUACUUUGAUGGUAUUUUAAUAUGGAUGCAUUCUUGGGGUAGAGGAUCUUCUCCCUGGGGCAGAUUAGAGGAGUGUUCAGAAACAACUGUGGUGGAUGUCUUAGACUCAGUUGGCAGAACUGGGGAUAUUUUGGUAUUCCUCUGAGGAGCACUGACUACUUUCAUGGCACUAACGGUAUGUGUUUUGUGGUAGAGCAUCUUCUCCCUGGGGCGAAGUGGUGUUUGGAAACCAAUUUGGGGGAUGUGUUGGACUCAGAUGGCAGGACUAGGGAUAUUUUGGUGGUCUUCCAAGGAGCAACUCCUAUUUUGAUGGGACUAAUUUGGAUGGCUUCUUGGCGUGGAGGACCUUCUCCCUGAGCCCAAUUGAAAGAAGGUUCAGAGAAAACUCUCCAGGUUAUUUUGGAGUCAGAUGGCAGGGCCAGGGAUUCUUUGACCAUCCUUUUCCAAGGAACACUGACUGGGCUGGCUUCUUGGGGUGGAGCAUUUUUUUCCCUGGGGCCAAUUAAAGUGUUCAGAAACAACUUUGGGAGAUGUCUUGGACUCAGUUGGCAUAAAUGGGGAUACUUUCAUGUCCUUCCGAGGAGCAUUGAAUAUUUUGAUGGCACUAACUUGCAUGACUUCUUGGAGUGGAGGACCUUCUCCCUGGGCCCAGUCGAAGAAAGGUUCAGAGAGAACUCUCUAGGAUGUCUGAAAAUUAGAUGGCAGGGCCAGGGACACUUUGGCCGUCCUCUUCCAAGGAGCACUGACUAUUUUGAUGGUCUAGCCUAGGUUGAUGCUGGAUGAAUGUUUGGUGUUAAGAUAAUCGUAUCCAAGGCUUAGAGGGCAGAGAAACAGAGGCCAGAGACUCACCUUGCAGCAGGAUGAGAAGAAGAGAAGUUGGUUCCUUUGGACUCAGACAAUCGAGGUUACAUCUUUGGGUGAGCCUGUGGCAGUUUGCCUGCUUCUUUCACUUCUCCUCCUGAAGACCAAGGACUUUUACUUAUCCUGACUCUGGCUGAUCCUGACGCCUCCAGCGAGCUAGUCUGGACUUAACAGGAAGUCGUAGAAAUGAACAACAAAGAAAUUACGAUAAAGAUUGUAAAUAUUGAAAACAAACUGAACAUUGUGAAACAUAACUUAAAAGACAGAUCUGGAGAACAGAUUAGGAAUAGAAAAUUGAAGAACUGGACUACCUAAACAUUUUGACCAAAAAAAGAACCUGAACACAAUAAUGCAAGAAAUAAUUGGUGAAUACUGUCCUGGAAUGAUAGGACAUGAGGGUAAAAUGUCACAAUAGGAAAAAA